GGUUAAGUGAAUAAGGGCGCACGGUGGAUGCCUUGGCACUAGGAGCCGAUGAAGGACGGGACUAACACCGAUAUGCUUUGGGGAGCUGUAAGUAAGCUAUGAUCCAGAGAUUUCCGAAUGGGGGAACCCAAUAUCUUUUAUAGGAUAUUACUUUUCAGUGAAUACAUAGCUGAUUAGAGGUAGACGCAGAGAACUGAAACAUCUUAGUACCUGCAGGAAGAGAAAGAAAAUUCGAUUCCCUGAGUAGCGGCGAGCGAAACGGGAAGAGCCCAAACCAACAAGCUUGCUUGUUGGGGUUGUAGGACUCCAAUAUGGUAGUCUGUUAGUAUAGUUGAAGGAUUUGGAAAAUUCCGCUAAAGAGGGUGAAAGCCCCGUAGACGAAAUGCUGACAACACCUAGGAGGAUCCUGAGUACGGCGGAACACGAGAAAUUCCGUCGGAAUCCGCGGGGACCAUCCCGCAAGGCUAAAUACUCCCUAGUGACCGAUAGUGAACCAGUACCGUGAGGGAAAGGUGAAAAGCACCCCGGAAGGGGAGUGAAAUAGAUCCUGAAACCGUGUGCCUACAACAAGUCAAAGCUCGUUAAUGAGUGAUGGCGUGCCUUUUGUAGAAUGAACCGGCGAGUUACGAUUGCAUGCGAGGUUAAGUCGAAGAGACGGAGCCGCAGCGAAAGCGAGUCUGAAUAGGGCGAAUGAGUAUGUAGUCGUAGACCCGAAACCAUGUGAUCUACCCAUGUCCAGGUUGAAGGUGCGGUAAAACGCACUGGAGGACCGAACCCACGUACGUUGAAAAGUGCGGGGAUGAGGUGUGGGUAGCGGAGAAAUUCCAAACGAACUUGGAGAUAGCUGGUUCUCUCCGAAAUAGCUUUAGGGCUAGCCUCGGAAUUGAGAAUGAUGGAGGUAGAGCACUGUUUGGACUAGGGGCCCAUCUCGGGUUACCGAAUUCAGAUAAACUCCGAAUGCCAUUCAUUUAUAUCCGGGAGUCAGACUGCGAGUGAUAAGAUCCGUAGUCGAAAGGGAAACAGCCCAGACCACCAGCUAAGGUCCCAAAAUAUAUGUUAAGUGGAAAAGGAUGUGGGGUUGCACAGACAACUAGGAUGUUGGCUUAGAAGCAGCCACCAUUUAAAGAGUGCGUAAUAGCUCACUAGUCGAGUGACCCUGCGCCGAAAAUGUACCGGGGCUAAACAUAUUACCGAAG
rnacentral:rRNA from 1 species